ACACCUGCAACUGGACUUCUUUCAACUGUCACUUAGCAUGGGUUACCAAUAUGUUCUUGUUAUUGUAUGCAUGUUUUCUGGAUGGGUUAAAGCUUCUCACAUGCUGCAAGGCUGGAGCUCUGACAGUGGCAAAGAAACUGUUAGAAAAUGUGUUUGCCACUUGGGGUAUACCUUACACAGUCUCCAGUGAUAAAGGCACCCACUACACUGAGCAAAUCAUACAAGCCUUAACAAGAACCUUGCAAACUUCUUGGAAUUAUCACUGUCCCUGUCACCUGCAAUUAUCAGGUAAGGUCAACAGAGCUAAUGCAAAAGCUGGAUUCAAGCGGAACAAGAAUUAGUAACAUGGGACUGAUGAGGAUGAUUAUAAUUUUUAUGACUUUGUGUUUAAAAUAUUGCUGGUUCUUUAAUGUUUUUUCCAAGUUUAAAGAUAUAUUUUCUCUUAAGCUACUCAACAAUUUGGUAAGAUAUACUUUUCUAAGCCAAGAUGAAGCAUUUACUUUUUUUCGUUACCUGGUCCCUCCAGAAUUCAGAAACUCUUGAUGAGUAUUCUUAUUUUCAUACAAUAAGACACAAUAGCACACAAUUGAAAACAGUAUGCAGACUUUGACGGCAAUGGUAUUGCAGGUAAAGUGUGAGACUCCUUAUGAAAAGUUCCAACGAAGUCAUCUUCAAAAGAACUUAAAUGAAUCACUAAGAACAAAGACUGCCCUUAAAUCUCCUUGGAAAGGACUGUACCAACCAGGUCUUCGUCACUACCCAGAUGGCAGUCAAACUUCAGGGACUUGAGACUUGGGGACGUAUCUCACAGCUGAAGAAGACCCCACCUGACACCUGGUCCUGUACAAACAUUGGAGACCUCCAAGUCAAAUCAAUGAGGAUGAGAAGUAGCUGACAUCAAUGUGGAUGGCUUCUUCCCAAGAUGCUAGAUGAAGACUUCAUACUUUAACUAAACAUGAAACUCUUCUUCUUCUUUCCUUUACUCUGGCACUGACCUGGAAAGUCUUUCCGGAGGUGAACCUGAACUUGACUAGCGUGGCAAAGGGUCCUCCCCAAGGUAUGAUCAUGGAGAAUAAUGGACAAAGACAAAGCCAAAGUCCAGAGAGGACCAGUAAAGGAGCCUCUCUGAGUGUGAGUUUACCACACAACUGCCCAGCAAGAUGCUACAUUUCCGAUCUCCCUCAAAG